AGUAUUUUAAGCUAAUUAAAACUAUCAGCCUUCAAAGCAGAAAUUAAGAUAAAACAUCUUAAAUACUA
rnacentral:tRNA from 1 species